GUCCUAGCUUCGGCGCGACAUAUACUAAAAUUGGAACGAUACAGAGGAGAUUAGCAUGGCCCCUGCGGUAGGACCACAUUAAAAAAAAAAACAUACAAAAAAAACCG